CAGCAGCCGCGGGAAUACAGAGGAUUUAAGCGUUACCCGGAAUGAUUGGGCGUAAAGCGUCUGUAGGUGGCUUUUCAAGUCCGUCGUCAAAUCCCAGGGCUCAACCCUGGACAGGCGGUGGAAACUACCAAGUUGGAGUACGGUAGGGGCAGAGGGAAUUUCCGGUGUAGCGGUGAAAUGCGCAGAUACCGGGAGGAACGCCGAUGGCGAAGGCAGCCACCUGGUCCACUUCUGAUGCUGAGGCGCGAAAGCGUGGGGAGCAAACCGGAUUAGAUACCCCCGUAGUCCCUGUCUCUUAUAC
rnacentral:rRNA from 1 species